UUCCCUGGGGUGUUGGCGAGCUGUUGGUACCCUGAGCCGAUAAUUACAGACAGGGACGAUUCCCUUUCAUUCGGUGUGCAGGCCCCGCGUUUCUUCAUCCGCUAUAUGGAGACUCGGGCGGGGAAGCCUAGGCAAAUGAAACAGUUGUCCCACUUGAACCACCUGGUUCAAGGAGUCCUUACACAGCCGCGGCACUUCCGGGGUU
rnacentral:other from 1 species